GGCGUGGCGCGGUGAGUGUGCUGCUGAGCGGGGUUAACGUGGGUCCUGGGUCAGACUUGGCGGUACCUGGACAGCGGGCCGGGGUCUUGAGGGUGCUUCGAACUGUAACAUGGGCCCGAGCUGGGCGUGUCUGCUUCGGGGCAGGUCUCCCGUCGGGUCCGGCCUGGAGCACCGUGUGGGCCGCUGCCACCACCGUGCGUUUUUGGCUUACAUCCAGUUUACAUGUGCCCAUUUGGCAAAUUCAUAGGGUCCGCUCCCUAAGCCAGAGCUGCGCAUUAAAGAAAGCCGAACCAGCUAGGGGAAUUUGAACUUUGUAAUAGCUGUACC
rnacentral:lncRNA from 1 species